UCACGAACAGCCUUGCCCCAGGGAUUUUGCCCUGAAGUAACAUUGCAGUCUAUUGUCUCCUUUCUUUUUACAACCCUGGCAGCCAUGCAGGAUAGAAGCUGAUCACUUGUACUUGACAGCAAAUAAUAAUGUCUUGGACAAGUCAAAGAAUUUCCUCCAGUCUUACAGAGAAAUGACAGUU